rnacentral:rRNA from 1 species
UACGUAGGGGGCGAGCGUUGUCCGGAAUUAUUGGGCGUAAAGAGCGUGUAGGCGGAUUUUUAAGUCAGGGGUGAAAUCCUGGAGCUCAACUCCAGAACUGCCUUUGAUACUGGGAAUCUCGAGUCCGGGAGAGGUGAGUGGAACUGCGAGUGUAGAGGUGAAAUUCGUAGAUAUUCGCAAGAACACCAGUGGCGAAGGCGGCUCACUGGCCCGGUACUGACGCUGAGGUGCGAAAGCGUGGGGAGCAAACAGG